UGACUGGAUCCUCAAGAUGGCGGCUCCCAUGGAAAGACAGAAAGAGCAGCCAUAUUGCCUCCUGAACAACGCCUCUAACGGAUAUUGAAUGGGCUUCGCCCUUUGGUCGCCGACAGGAAGCGGGCGAGUUCAUCAAAUAUGGGUGUUACAGCCCUCCGGGUUUAAGCCGUGAUAAGCAUCUCGGGACUCGAUAACCUUAAUGGGGGCCAGAAAGGGGGGUUAUGGGUUGAAUCAUGGUCAAGUCUGGGAUAGGUAAAGGAAUGAAGGUCGUGAGAGUCUGUGAGGUCAGUGAUGGAAGCUUCUGAGAUGAAUGUUGCGGGUCUUAAGGGGAUCCGUUAUAGGGUUUGGGUGUCCAGAGACAGAGAAGCAUGACUAUUUUUCUUGGUUAUUUCCUUCCAUGGGUGUUUUGAUAAAGCCUCAGUCAUCUCAUAUGAAACAGGCUCCCAGUCAUGGGAGCCCCCACUUCCUCUGAACAAGUUCAGCCCUGUCUGCAUGACCUGUCCUGGGACUGAGAAGAUUUUACUAGGUAAGUACCUUACUGCAAUUUGGUGUAUUCUUUUAUCACCAUUUUUGUAUGAAGACGACAUACCUUAAAAUCAGCAUUUUAGUCCAUGAGUAUUGAUUUGCUGAGUUGGGGGAAAAUAUGAGCGCUCUUGGGUGAUUACUGGAAUUCAGCUGUUGGUUCUCUCUGGGGAAUAUGGGAAAUACUUUCCUGUUUUCCAGUUGGUCAUUCCCAUUCUUAUUGCCAGGGAACUAUUCCAUCUUCAGUUAAAUAUUAUAUAUAUAUAUUUCCAUGAUUAUUGCCUUA
rnacentral:lncRNA from 1 species